GAUCACUGAAGUUAAGCAACGUCGAGCCAGGUCAGUAUCUAGAUGGGUGACCGCUUGGGAAAACGAGGUGCUGUAAG